rnacentral:rRNA from 1 species
AUUGAACGCUGGCGGCAGGCCUAACACAUGCAAGUCGAGCGGGGUUUUCGGACCUAGUGGCGGACGGGUGAGUAAUGCGUAGGAAGCUACCCGACAGAGGGGGAUACCAGUUGGAAACGACUGUUAAUACCGCACAACGUCUACGGACCAAAGUGUGGGACCUUCGGGCCACAUGCUAUCGGAUGCGCCUACGUGGGAUUAGCUAGUUGGUGGGGUAAUGGCUCACCAAGGCGACGAUCCCUAGCUGGUUUGAGAGGAUGAUCAGCCACACUGGAACUGAGACACGGUCCAGACUCCUACGGGAGGCAGCAGUGGGGAAUAUUGGACAAUGGGCGCAAGCCUGAUCCAGCCAUGCCGCGUGUGUGAAGAAGGCCUUCGGGUUGUAAAGCACUUUAAGCGAGGAGGAGGCUACUAGUACUAAUACUACUGGAUAGUGGACGUUACUCGCAGAAUAGGCACCGGCUAACUCUGUGCCAGCCGCCGCGGUAAUAC